UGGGGGAUAUUGCGCAAUGGGGGCAACCCUGACGCAGCAACGCCGCGUGAAGGUAUGAAGGUUUUCGGAUUGUAAACUUCUUUUCUUAAGGACGAAAUUUGACGGUACUUAAGGAAUAAGCUCCGGCUAACUACGUGCC
rnacentral:rRNA from 1 species